rnacentral:rRNA from 1 species
UACGGAGGGUGCGAGCGUUAUCCGGAUUCACUGGGUUUAAAGGGUGCGUAGGUGGGAAUGUAAGUCAGUGGUGAAAUCUCUGAGCCUAACUCAGAAACUGCCAUUGAUACUAUGUUUCUUGAAUUUUCUGGAGGUCAGCGGAAUAUGUCAUGUAGCGGUGAAAUGCUUAGAUAUGACAUAGAACACCAAUUGCGAAGGCAGCUGGCUACAGGGAUAUUGACACUGAGGCACGAAAGCGUGGGGAUCAAACAGG